rnacentral:snoRNA from 1 species
GCCAUCCAGAUCCCUUUCUCCUCAGAUCUAACGCUGGUCGGGGUUAAAAGAGGAGGAAAAGUAAAAACUGAAGUGGCCUUAGAGCCUUUAAUGACACACCAGUUCAUUUCAAAUAGUU